AUUCGAAUAAACGUAAUAAAUGGGCAGUGAAAAUAUGACUCAAGCGAAUAUAAUGUAAGCGAUAAAAGAGAGAAGACCUGCACUUAAUGAGGACAUGAUGAUGAGUCGUGUGUAUCUGAUCCUGGGCUUUUGCCUGAUCAUGGCGCUCUACUCGGACACUCAGCCGUUCAGCCUCCACGCAGUCCCGUGCUGUUUCAGGUUCUUUAAAGGCAAAAUUCCUCCCGAAAGAAUCCUGAAGGUGGAAAAGACAAACUCACACUGUACGAUGCACGGCUUCAUUGUCACAACAGAUAGCAAUCCUGGCCUCUGUGUUCUCAAAAACCCCCUGGGAUAAUAUAUAUAAUGUAUUCAUAUUUAUAACUUCUUUGUUUACUCCAUUUUUUUAAUAAUUUGAAGCUUUUUUCAAUGUUCAAUAUUGUUCAUCACAUUUGUGAUUAUAAUUGUGCUGUUACAGUAAAUGAUUCUUUUGAUUGUAACAUAUCAUUUUUUUCAUUUAUUUAUAAACUCCCAUAUCAAAAUAUAUUUUCUUUUAUUAAAUUAUCCCAAAGUCUUAGAAACAUUCCUUUACGAUUUCUUUGCCUGUAGAAACCUGUAGAAAUAUAUUAUUAAAUAUAUUAUAUUCAAGUCAAAUCUGAACUCUUUGCUAUUUUUUCCUCUAAAAUAACUGUAGAUUUUGUUAUCAGACAGGAAUAAAA